rnacentral:rRNA from 1 species
CAGCAGCCACGGUAAUACGAAGGGGGCUAGCGUUGCUCGGAAUGACUGGGCGUAAAGGGCGCGUAGGCGGCGAUCAAAGUCAGGCGUGAAAUUCCUGGGCUCAACCUGGGGGCUGCGCUUGAUACUGGGUUGCUUGAGUGGGGAAGAGGGUCGUGGAAUUCCCAGUGUAGAGGUGAAAUUCGUAGAUAUUGGGAAGAACACCGGUGGCGAAGGCGGCGACCUGGUUCAUAACUGACGCUGAGGCGCGAAAGCGUGGGGAGCAAACAGGAUUAGAUACCCCUGUAGUCCCUGUCUCUUAUAC